rnacentral:antisense_RNA from 1 species
AGUCUGGUGGUGAAUCCUCCAUAGUCUGGGACAGGCAGGGGAGCCCAGGGGCAUGUUGGAUAUGAAUAUGUCUUCAGCCUUCAAGUUACCAUUGGCCAGAGGGAAGAGUAGCCCCAAACUCUGAAGAGUGCUGGCAAGGCUCCCCAUCUUCCCCUCCCUAGCCCCCACAGGAACUUCACCGUAUGGCUUGGCAUUUUUUUUUUUUUUUUUGAGACGGAGUCUCACUCUGUCACCCAGGCUGGAGUGCAGUGGCGUGAUCUCGGCUUACUGCAAGCUCCGCCUCCCGGGUUCACGCCAUUCUCCUGCCUCAGCCUCCUGAGUACCUGGGACUACAGGCGCCCGCCACCACGCCCGGCUAAUUUUUUGUAUUUUUAGUAGAGAUGGGGUUUCACCACGUUAGCCAGGAUGGUCUCGAUCUCCUGACGUGAUCCACCCGCCUCAGCCUCCCAAAGUGCUGGGAUUACAGGCGUGAGCCACCGCGCCUGGCCUGGCUUGGCAUCUUUAGGGCAGAUCUCAGUAUGCCUUGCAUUCCAAUUCACCUCCAGAAUCCCAGCACUUCCUCCAAGGAGUUGGAAAAAGCUCAUGAUGACUUCAGCGAAGAAUUGCCAAAUCUAGAAAUUAAAAAUCCAACGUAUUGAUCUCCUGGUGGGCGCCAAAUCGUCCACCGCGCUCCGCAGGCCAACUGCGAGCCGGCGCGUCCGCGUCUCUGCAGAUGGGAGACUCACCUGG